rnacentral:rRNA from 1 species
CUUCGGCAAUGGGCGAAAGCCUGACCGAGCGACGCCGCGUGAGCGAUGAAGGCCCUAGUGGUCGUAAAGCUCUGUCAGGAGGGAAUAAAGCCAUACGGCGAAUAACCGUAUGGUCUGAAGGUACCUCCAAAGGAAGCUCCGGCUAACUCCGUGCCAGCAGCCGCGGUAAUACGGAGGGAGCGAACGUUGUUCGGAUUUACUGGGUGUAAGGGGUGCGUAGGCGGCCCUGUGUGUCAGAGGUGAAAUCCGACGGCUCAACCGUCGAAUUGCCCCUGAAACUGCAGGGCUUGAGUCCGGAAGGGGAAGGUGGAAUUCCUGGUGUAACGGUGAAAUGUGCAGAUAUCAGGAAGAACACCCGUAGCGAAGGCGGCCUUCUGGUCCGGAACUGACGCUGAGGCACGAAAGCUAGGGUAUCGAACGGGAUUAGAUACCCCCGUAGUC